rnacentral:rRNA from 1 species
UUCUAUUAGAAAUAAUUAAUAGUAUAAUCUGCUCAAUGAUAUUAAAUAGCCGCUAUUACUGUGCUAAGGUAGCAUAAUCAUUUGUCUUUUAAUUGAAGACUGGAACAAAAGAUUAAACAAUUUAAUUAAUAUAUUAAAAAUUAAAACUUAAAUUUAUUUUUUAUGUAAAAAAACAUUUAUAAAUUAGGAAGACGACAAGACCCUAUUAAACUUAACUUAAGUUAAACUGGGGCAGUUAAUCAAUUAUUAUUUUAAUAAAUAUAAAAUAAUAAAAGAUCCAAUAAAAUUGAUUAUAUGAUCAAGUUACUAUAGGGAUAACAGCGCAAUAUUAAUCUAAAGAUCUUAUUUAAAUAAAAGAUUACGACCUCGAUGUUGAAUUAAUAAACUAGAUUAUCGCAAUAGAUGAUCAAAGNAAGUCCGUUCGACUUUUAAAAAAUUACA